rnacentral:siRNA from 1 species
ACCUGAACUUUUAAAAAGUGGCCA